CAAAGGUUUAGUCCUGACUCUCCUGUCAGCUGAGGCCUACUUUACACAUGCAAGUUUCCGCGCCCCCGUGAGUUAUGCCCCAAAAACGCCCCCCUCCCGGAGUGUAAGGAGCAGGCGUCAGGCACCCCCCCCCCGCCCACGACGCCCCGCAAAUGCCACACCCCCAAGGGCAACAGCAGUGAUAGACAUUAAGCAAUAAGUGUAAACUUGACUUAGUUAAGGCCAACCUAGGGCCGGCUAAAUUCGUGCCAGCUGCCGCGGUUAUACGAAUGGCCCAAGUUGACAGGCAUCGGCGUAAAGGGUGGUUAGAGUAAAUUUUAAAAGUAAAGCCGAAAAUUUUUAGAGCUGUAAAACGCCCAUAAACACAUAGAAGCCCUCAAACGAAAGUAGCUUUACAACCCCUGACCCCACGAAAGCUAGGAAACAAACUGGGAUUAGAUACCCCACUAUGCCUAGGUAUAAACAACGGCGACACACAACAAAUCGCCCGCCCGGGAACAACGAGCGGAAGCUUACAACCCAAAGGACUUGGCGGUGCUUUACCCCACCUAGAGGAGCCUGUUCUAGAACCGAUUCCCCCCGUUCAACCUUACCCUUCCUAGCCAUUACAGCCUGUAUACCGCCGUCGUCAGCCUACCCUCUGAAGGUAAAAUAGUUAGCAAACCCAGCACACAGCCCGAAACGUCAGGUCGAGGUGCAGCCCAUGGAAGGGAAUGAAAUGGGCUACAUUCACUUAACAAGUGAACACGAACAAUGCAUUGAAACACGCAUUCGAAGGAGGAUUUAGCAGUAAGCACAAAGCAAAGCGUUGUGCUGAACUCGGCCCAAAAGCACGUACAUACCGCCCGUCACCCUCCCCGAAACCAACCCCCUACCUACUUAAACACCCAUCCAACUACAAGGGGAGGUAAGUCGAAACAAGGUAAGUGUACUGGAAAGUGCACUUGGAUAACACA
rnacentral:ncRNA from 1 species